rnacentral:lncRNA from 12 species
ACCCCAUCCAAAAAAAACCUCAAAGCCAUGCAGCUUUGUCUGUCUCCUCCAGAAAGUGCUUCAGGCAGGGAAGUUUCAGGGAAGUUUCAGGGAAGUUUCAGGGAAGUUUCAGGGAAGUUUCAGGGAAGUUUCAGGGAAGUUUCAGGGAAGUUUCAGGGAAGUUUCAGGGAAGUUUCAGGGAAGUUUCAGGGAAGUUUCAGGGAAGUUUCAGGGAAGUUUCAGGGAAGUUUCAGGGAAGUUUCAGGGAAGUUUCAGGGAAGUUUCAGGGAAGUUUCAGGGAAGUUUCAGGGAAGUUUCAGGGAAGUUUCAGGGAAGUUUCAGGGAAGUUUCAGGGAAGUUUCAGGGAAGUUUCAGGGAAGUUUCAGGGAAGUUUCAGGGAAGUUUCAGGGAAGUUUCAGGGAAGUUUCAGGGAAGUUUCAGGGAAGUUUCAGGGAAGUUUCAGGGAAGUUUCAGGGAAGUUUCAGGGAAGUUUCAGGGAAGGAAGUUUCAGGGAAGUUUCAGGGAAGUUUCAGGGAAGGGAAGGGAAGUUUCAGGGAAGUUUCAGGGAAGUUUCAGGGAAGUUUCAGGGAAGUUUCAGGGAAGGGAAGGGAAGGGAAGGGAAGGGAAGGGAAAAGGGCUGCAGGGAAGGAGAGGGAGCCACUGGCCUGCUACUGACCUGGUACAAUUAGUCACUGCUGGGACUGCUCGUUUCUGCCAGUGGGUGUGAAAGGAGGGAGGGGAGGACUGAGUUGGAAAAACACACAAAGGCAGAGCUAUGCAUAGCCAGACAGGGUUAAUCCCAGUGGGGC